GGCAACGGAGAGAGACCCUCCCUGCCCCACGACGGGUUCGCGGUCUAAACCGGGGAGACGGACGGCAGAGCGGAACAGAACAAGGCAAAAACAAGACCGCAUCAUCGAGAUGAAUAGAAUGAAGGGGAUGUGCACCUCGUUACCAAAAUAAAUAAGGUGAACUAUUUACAUACAACGGAUUGUGUUUGCUUUCGGAUGAUUUAUUUUUCUCUUUGAGGUUAACCUUCCUUCUCCUGUUACAAGUUGAACAAGACACAAGAGGCCAAUGCCUCUUGCAUGUGAUUCAGAGAGAAGAUCGUUUCUUAGUACAAAAAAAAAAAAGAGGCUGUAGUCAACAGGAUGAAAAUGACAGCUAUGCUAAGGAUUCUCUAAAUGCACGAGAUGCAGUGCCUUCCCGUAGCCCAGCCUGAAAUGAAAACUGAAAGGGAUCUACUCAAGAGAUGUCUUUAUAAAAAACCAGAGUGGGGAAAGAGCAAAACAGUGACUGUGUGUACGUAAUAUAUAUGUUAACAUGAAUACUAUGUUUCUUCAGAUAAUAUAUGCAUUGAGAGAAAUUUAUUUCUGAACCUAUGAGGCACAGGUUUGACUUUUAUGUUCUGUUCUCAAAUAUGGUGUCCCUGACAAUUGCUCAUUAAGUUAUUUAGAUUUUAUGGUAUAAGAAAGAAUGCACUUGAAAUCACACUGGGUCAGAUUCUCACCCAGAUUCUCCUUGGGGAUAAUAAAGGUCCUCUAAAAGGA